GCAAGUCGAGCGAGAAAGCACUUCGGUGCGAGUACAGCGGCGGACGGGUGAGUAACGCGUAGGAAUCUACCUGGUAGUGGGGGACAACUUGUGGAAACGCAAGCUAAUACCGCAUACGCCCUAAGGGGGAAAGCGGGGGAUCUUCGGACCUCGUGCUAUUAGAUGAGCCUGCGUAAGAUUAGCUUGUUGGUGAGGUAAGAGCUCACCAAGGCGACGAUCUUUAGCUGUUCUGAGAGGAUGAUC
rnacentral:rRNA from 1 species